UGAGAGGUGCAUAGUGGGAUUGUUGUCAGUGUCUUAGGCCUCAGGCAAGAAGAAUGUGUCUUGGGCUGACCCUGAAACCAGGAGCUGACACGGCCUGUUUGUGAAGAUAAUCAGAACCUUUGCUGAAAGAAUGGGACGUCCUACGUAGGCUGCUCAGUACUGCAGUGGAAGAUAACGGGAAAGCAGUCAGAGGUUCCGAGAGGAGACAAACAGGCUUAUUUUCUUAUGUGUGUGCUAUAUUUACCUAUUUGGAGGGUCAUGUGAUCUAAUAGCUGUGUUGUAAUGAAAUAGAUUAAUCGACCAAAUAUAUGGUGAGGUAUGGGUAGUUUGAUGAGCUGGAUUGCAUAGUAUUGUUUACCUUGGGGACAUGAUGUAAGGGGUUAGCAAGGGUGGGUGUAACUGGUGGUGACUGGCUGACUGGCCAUGACCCUAAAAGGAUGCAGAGGUGCACAAGGUCAACACCUCUGCACACAGACGAGAGCCCCUGCCUUAACCAAUAGGGUACAAUAUUGCCUUUUAAGGGGAUUUGCAGAAAUGUAUGAAACGUGAGCAUGUACUUUGUUUAGGAGUUUCUUAAGCAAGCAAAUUUUAUCUUAAGUCAUGUCAGGUAAAUUCACUUCAUGCCGGGUGCUCAACAGAAUUUAAGGGAAAGUAACAAGAUUUUUUAGUUCCACACUAUCAUUAUAAAUGAGCUUGCAAUAAAAGGUUAACCUUGUGUAAGUCAGCAAAUGUAAUAACAGUAUCUUAUUUUCUUCAGUUAAUAUUCAUAUUCUGUACUUAAUCUCUUUAAACAUGUUAAUCUUAAUCUCUUUAAAAAAAUAAAUUAUGUAGACACAGAUUAA